rnacentral:lncRNA from 2 species
GAUGUCCAAGACAUAACGAGUGACAGCAAGAAGAGCAAACAAUCAGAGUCAUGCAUCCAUACUGAUAAGAAUGUCCAAGACAUACCAAGUGACAGCGACAUAAAAACAUCAGAAAAACGCGUCGACAGCACAACACAUGCCACUUCACACAAGGAUAGGCCAGAAACUGAGUCACUGACCCGAAAACUAAUCAUGCUGAUAGAAGAGCAAGGAAAGGAGAUGAAGGAGAUGAAGCAGAAUCAACAGUCCAUGCAUAACCAAAUUCAAUCACUCACCAACAUAAUAGCUGCAUUCAAAGAGGAAAAGACAAUACCAACUUCCAAGAACUCUAAGCCAAAUAAACCAAACCCACCAACUCAAACGCCCGUCAUUGCCAAAUUGCGUAAAUCAACAAUUAAAUCAAAUUCUGAUUUCAUCUACAAUUUAGGGGCUACAAAGAAGAAACCAAAGAAUGCGCAAGCAAAGAAUUUAAUAUCCAAUGAUUUAACUUCAAUGGCAGAGUUCAAGUGCACCGCAGAAGAUGAGGAAACCAUUAAAAGUAUAAUGAGUGCACCAGAAUCACAACUAGUGGUGCAUAUCGAUGAUGUCUCAAUUUCCCAAAAAACAAUGCAAAUUCUGACUAAUCCAGUGACUGAAUCAAGUACGAGCUAUUUGGAUGAUCACAAAGAUAUGAAGGAAGGUACAGGGACUAGGGCAGAAGGUACGGUGUUCCUAGAGAAACCGUUAAUAACAAGGUUGCUACAAAGAGAUGGCGAACACUAUGUUUCCAAAGACAUCAUCGAUCGGGCAAUGGCUAAAGCAACGGCAAAUAGAUAUCUAAAGCAUGAUAUGGAAGAUAUAAAAUAUUUUAGAAGGAAGUUAGCUGCAAUUUUGGGGGGUGCUCAGAAGAAGGAUAAAAAGAUAAACUAA